rnacentral:rRNA from 1 species
GACGAACUCUGGCGGCGUGCCUAAUACAUGCAAGUCGAGCGGACCGGAUUGGGGCUUGCCUUGAUUCGGUCAGCGGCGGACGGGUGAGUAACACGUGGGCAACCUGCCCGCAAGACCGGGAUAACUCCGGGAAACCGGAGCUAAUACCGGAUAACACCGAAGACCGCAUGGUCUUCGGUUGAAAGGCGGCCUUUGGGCUGUCACUUGCGGAUGGGCCCGCGGCGCAUUAGCUAGUUGGUGAGGUAACGGCUCACCAAGGCGACGAUGCGUAGCCGGCAUGAGAGGGUGAGCGGCCACACUGGGACGGAGACGCGGCCCAGACUCCGACGGGAGGCAGCAGUAGGGAAUCUGCCGCAAUGGGCGAAAGCCUGACGGAGCGACGCCGCGUGAGCGAAGAAGGCCUUCGGGUCGUAAAGCUCUGUUGUGAGGGACGAAGGAGCGCCGUUCGAAGAGGGCGGCGCGGUGACGGUACCUCACGAGAAAGCCCCGGCUAACUACGUGCCAGCAGCCGCGGUAA